GGGACGGUAGCUCAGACUGGGAGAGCACAUGACUGAAGAUCAUGGGGUCGAGGGUUCAAAUCCCUCUCGUCCCACCA
rnacentral:tRNA from 1 species